UGAGGAAUAUUGGUCAAUGGGCGAGAGCCUGAACCAGCCAAGUCGCGUGCAGGAUGACUGCCUUAUGGGUUGUAAACUGCUUUUAUACAGGAAUAACAACAGCUACGUGUAGCUGGAUGAAUGUACUGUAAGAAUAAGGAUCGGCUAACUCCGUGCCAGCAGCCGCGGUAAUACGGAGGAUCCGAGCGUUAUCCGGAUUUAUUGGGUUUAAAGGGUGCGUAGGCGGUCUUUUAAGUCAGUGGUGAAAGUUUGGAGCUUAACUCUAAAAUUGCCAUUGAAACUGGAAGACUUGAAUACGGUAGAGGUAAGCGGAAUGCGUGGUGUAGCGGUGAAAUGCAUAGAUAUCACGCAGAACCCCGAUUGCGAAGGCAGCUUACUGGACCGUUAUUGACGCUGAGGCACGAAAGCGUGGGGAUCAAACAGG
rnacentral:rRNA from 1 species